CAAGGUAAUUCGUAAAGUCCCAAGGACCUUGUUAUAAAGUUUUUUUUAAGAAUCCAAAGCUAAACGACAAAAAAGAACAUUUAUGCGAUAAUGAUCAUGAUAAUUAUUAAAAAACUAUACAUUUACAUUUUA